rnacentral:rRNA from 1 species
GACAGAGGGUGCAAACGUUGUUCGGAAUUACUGGGCGUAAAGCGCGUGUAGGCGGCUCGGAAAGUCGGGUGUGAAAGCCCUGGGCUCAACCUGGGAAUUGCAUUGGAUACUGGCAGGCUAGAGUGCGGUAGAGGAUGGCGGAAUUCCCGGUGUAGCAGUGAAAUGCGUAGAGAUCGGGAGGAACAUCUGUGGCGAAGGCGGCCAUCUGGACCAGCACUGACACUGAGGCACGAAAGCGUGGGGAGCAAACAGG